UACAGCCAUAUCAUGUUGAAACAACGGUUCUUGUACGAUCACCGAAGUUAAGCAACGUUGAGUCUGAUCAGUAGCUAGGUGGAUCAUUGCUUGAGAAUUCCAGGUGCUGUAAG